rnacentral:rRNA from 1 species
AUUGAACGCUGGCGGCAGGCCUAACACAUGCCAGUCGAACGGUAACAGGAAGAAGCUUGCUUCUUUGCUGACGAGUGGCGGACGGGUGAGUCAUGUCUGGGAAACUGCCUGAUGGAGGGGGAUAACUACUGGAAACGGUAGCUAAUACCGCAUAACGUCGCAAGACCAAAGAGGGGGACCUUCGGGCCUCUUGCCAUCGGAUGUGCCCAGAUGGGAUUAGCUAGUAGGUGGGGUAACGGCUCACCUAGGCGACGAUCCCUAGCUGGUCUGAGAGGAUGACCAGCCACACUGGAACUGAGACACGGUCCAGACUCCUACGGGAGGCAGCAGUGGGGAAUAUUGCACAAUGGGCGCAAGCCUGAUGCAGCCAUGCCGCGUGUAUGAAGAAGGCCUUCGGGUUGUAAAGUACUUUCAGCGGGGAGGAAGGGAGUAAAGUUAAUACCUUUGCUCAUUGACGUUACCCGCAGAAGAAGCACCGGCUAACUCCGUG